rnacentral:rRNA from 1 species
GUCUUUUUGAUUAAAUAAAAAGUCUAGCCUGCCCGGUGAAUUUUUAACGGCCGCAGUAUACUGACUGUGCAAAGGUAGCAUAAUCUAUUGUCUUUUAAUUAAAGGCUUGUAUGAAUGGUUGAAUGAGAUAUUAACUAUUUUUAUUUUAAUAAAAAUGAAUUUUAAUUUUUAGUAAAAAUGCUAAAAUAAAAAAAUUAGACGAGAAGACCCUAUAAAUCUUAAUUUUAUUUUUUAUAAUAUUAAUUUUGAAAAUUUUUAAUAAAUUAUAAAAAUAAAAUUUUAUUGGGAGGAUAAUGAAAUUUAAUAAACUUUUAUUUUUUUUUAUAAAUAUAAUUAAAUUAUUGAAUAUAUAAUUAUAAAAUAUUUAAAAAAUUAAGUUACUUUAGGGAUAACAGCGUAAUUAUUUUAAAGAGUUCUUAUCGAUAAAAUAGUUUGCGACCUCGAUGUUGAAUUAAGAAUUAAUUUAGGUGUACAAGUUUAAAUUUUAAGUCUGUUCGACUUUUGAAUU